GGGGUUAUAGCUCAGUUGGUAGAGCACUGCAAUGGCAUUGCAGGGGUCAGCGGUUCGAGCCCGCUUAGCUCCA
rnacentral:tRNA from 1 species